GGAUGGUCUUGAAGGACUGGAUUGGUCUCUUCCCAUCUUGAUGAUCACGUGACAUCACAGGAGCAGGUCCUGGGCAUUCCUGAGGAUGACACAUGGGAGACAGUUGUUGGGCAGCUGAGCUGUUCGGAGUCUGUUCCCUUAUCCAUUAGUUACCAUCUUCAUCAAGGUCAAGCAGGACCCAUCGGGUCACUGGAGCCACCACUGUGGAGGGGCUUCAGUCCCAGCACUGAAAGUCUUUGGCCUUAGGAGUGUGACUGCUCUGGAGUCUUGGGAAUGGUCUAACUGGGGAGCUUCCUUAACAGAGACCACAAAACCUACAGAGGAGGUGAAAUGUCUCACCAGAAUUAAUGCUCUGUUUUCCAUCCCUUUUGCUGUUUUCUAGAGAAGCUCUGUCUCCUCCUGUAUGUGGAGAUGAAGGAGACUUUUUGGAUGCACUGUCUGUUGGAAAGCUGUGAUACUUGUGGUGGAUUGGUUUGCUGUGUCCUUGGAGCACAUCCAGAAUUAAACAUGGAGCUGCAAUUGGGGGCUUGCUGUCCUGAAGAAUUUGUGCUGACAUGUGUCCUGUUUUUAGGACAGUCCAAUGGGCUAUAAGGUUUUUCCUCCAAGCCCUAAACACGACAUCAGCCCAUCAUUUUCACUCUGUGGUCACGUGGACCUGUUUGAAUGAGGACUAAAACUCCUCAGCUUUAGAUCGUGGGAAUCACACACAAUGAUUGGAAGGGACUAGAAGGCAUCACUGAGCCCCCACCACUUCCAAAAAGAAAAAAAGAAGUGGAAUUUAGUGGCCAGGAGACUCUGGGCUCCUGUUAGGUUGUGCCAGCUGCUCCUGUGUUAGUGCUGGUGCCCCCAGUGAGCACAACCACUCAGGC
rnacentral:lncRNA from 1 species